CAAUAGCGUAUAUUAAAGUUGUUGCAGUUAAAAAGCUCGUAGUUGGAUUUCUGGUAGGAGCGACAGUGCCGAACUUGAUUGUUCGUGUAUUGUGUUGUCUUCAGCCAUCCUCGUGGAGAACUUUUCGGGCAUUAAUUUGUCGGGAUUGGGACCCGCGUCGUUUACUGUGAAAAAAUUAGAGUGUUUAAAGCAGGCAAUCGCUUGAAUACAUUAGCAUGGAAUAAUAAGAUAGGACUUUGGUACUAUUUUGUUGGUUUGCAUACCAAAUUAAUGAUCAACAGGAACAGUUUGAGGAUAUUCGUAUGAACAUGUCAGAGGUGAAAUUCUUGGAUUUUGAUCAGACGAACUACUGCGAAAGCAUUUAUCAAGGAUGUUUUCAUUAA
rnacentral:rRNA from 1 species